rnacentral:lncRNA from 1 species
UUUGGGUUUUUAGUUGUUAAGCCUAUCUCUAAGCAUAAUUUUUUAACAUGAAUUUUCUAUGAUACCAAUGAUAUUUUUUAACACGGAUUUUCUAUUGAAGAGACAACAUUGCCCAAAACUAUUGGCACAGAAUGCACAAUUCUUGGUUCCUCAAGCACUUCAGUUGCUAUUAAUCAAAGGCUCCUAAAGUUGCUUUCUGAUGGAAUUGCU